UACGAAGGGCCCGAGCGUUGCGCGGAAUCACUGGGCUUAAAGCGUACGUAGGCGGGCGUGCAGGCACUUUGUGAAAUCCCCCGGCUCAACCGGGGAAUUGCUUGGUGAACCGCACGUCUUGAGACAAGUAGGGGCUGUCGGAACGAUAGGUGGAGCGGUGAAAUGCGUUGAUAUCUAUCGGAACGCCGAAGGUGAAGACAGGCAGCUGGGCUUGUUCUGACGCUCAGGUACGAAAGCGUGGGGAGCGAACGGG
rnacentral:rRNA from 1 species